UACAGUGGCUACGGGUAGUAACACGUGGGUAAUCUACCUCUUAGUGGGGGAUAUCUCUGGGAAACCGGAGUUAAUACCGCAUAAGUUCGGAAGAAGAAAGCAGCAAUGCGCUGAGAGAGGAGCCCGCGGCCGAUUAGCUAGUUGGUGGGGUAAAGGCUCACCAAGGCAGAGAUCGGUAGCCGGCCUGAGAGGGCACACGGCCACACUGGCACUGAAAUACGGGCCAG
rnacentral:rRNA from 1 species